rnacentral:lncRNA from 1 species
GCAGCUAUACAGCAGAACAAUGUUGUGAACUUGCAACAUAGUUCUAUGUCUGGUUUAUCAACAACACAACAAAACAUGUUGAAUACAAUUCAACCAAGUAAUAGUGUAAACGUUGGGCAAGGCAAUUAUGUGAACUCUUUGCAACAGGCUCCCUUGAGCUCCCUUCAAGAAAACAAUGUUAGCACUCCUUAACAGACCAACAUCAAUUCAUUAUAAUCACAAGGUGGGGUGAUGUGAUCCAACCAAAUCCACAUCGAAGCUGCUGCGAGACAAACACACAAAAAUCAGUUUAAUUAAAAAAAAUGCAAACUUUUCAGCUAAGUAAGUUACGGUGGUGAAACUUUUUCUUACCGACGGUGAAGUUUUGGAGAUGGAGAGGAAUUGAAGGAGGGACCACAAACUGGGGAUGAGGAAAAAAGCUCCAAAUGGCUUCCGUACGAACACGCUCCACUACCCUUAAGAAACACAGUAGAGAGAAAGAAAGAGUUACGAGUCAUAUAUAAGAGGCACUACUGUUCACAAAGAAAACCCUAAGAAUUUUUGACGGCGAGAAGGCGAAAACUUUGAGAGCCAAGAGCCAACAUUUCUUGAAGAGAACCAAUCACGUUUGGAAGAAAGAUCCACGUGACGCUGCCCUUCCCAAUCGCUUCCGGCUUUGUCGCCACUGGUGAGUUUCCUGCUUCUUUGACCACACGCGUUGAUUCUUGCUUGAUCGAAAGUAGAGAGAUAGCUAUUUAUGUUUAGCUUCUAGUUUUGCUUUGAUUGUUGCAUCGUUCUAAAUACUGUGAAUGCGCGAUCCAUGAUUUUGUUUUUGUUGGUGGUUGCUCCCCUCCCGUUCGCGACGGUAGAGAGAAGGAGAGAGGUUCCUGGGGAUGGAGAGCAAGUUGGUUUCUCUCGAGAGGGAGAGGAUCAUUUGGAUACGUUAAAUUCUUUUGUUUGUGUCUUUUUUCAGAUUUUUUUACUCCAUUUAUGUUUUGUCCAUCGGUACUACCAGCUUUCUUUUUAAAAUAUCGAAUGCCACGUUUCACUGUUCCUCAGGCUAGCCUUUCACCUUCAUCUACCUUUUUUCAUAAAGCCAGCAAACCAACUAUUAUUGUUGGCAGACUUUUCAUUUUCAUCACCCAACAGCCAGACGACUAGGGUGACCGUUGAACUUCCCUCCUGGCCCUUUUCGCGCUUGGACAUUGCUGGAGUGGGCCUCCACCGACCCGAAUCUGGGACUUAAAUUUGUGGGCCUUAAACAAACCUAAUUCGGUGGCCCAUGUUUGGCCCUUUUCAUUUUUUUCUUUGGGAGUUUUCCGGUUAGCACACAGGUUUUGUUGGUCUUAAUCUAGCAGUAGGCAAGUCUUGGCUGGGUGGAGAUGGAGAUAGUUCAUCUCCCCCUUAGUCCUGGGUCCGAUACCCAUAUGUGUUAUUUUGGUUCUUUAACAUUUCAAUUUCUCAUAUUUUCUUUAAUUCUCGUAUUUAUGUUUUAACCUAAUUUCUCCUAUACUCAUUUUUUUAAUGUUUCCCUAUUUAUUCAUCUUAAUUGGAAAAGUAUCGAUUUUAAUUUAUGGAUUCAACUACUCUCAUGUUAUUUAUCCAUGAUUAUUUUAUCGAUAUAACAAUAGAAUUUCGUCGCGUUAUGAUUAAUCACAUAUGACAUUUCAAUUAUUAUCAAUAUGUGCAAACCGAUUUUGAGCACAUUAUUUAGGUUUUGUGUGUCCCUCAAUUUUCUUCCGUGCACGUCCC